CCCUUUUAAAGAUAGCCGUCAGUUCGAUACCAAAUUGUUAUCCCAAAACCUUACCGUGAGGAAGACCUACGUUUAGGACAAGAAACAACCCUUUCAGGUCAUUUGGUGAUAAACAAAACCUAUGAGAAAAUCAUACGACAUUUUUAUUGGCCUGGAAUUCGAAAAACCGUGGCAGAAUUCCACAAAACAUGCCACACUUGUCAAGUAGUAAGCAAACCAAAUCAAGUUAU